CCUACGGGGUGCAGCAGUGGGGAAUACUGCACAAUGGGCGCAAGCCUGAUGCAGCCAUGCCGCGUGUGUGAAGAAGGCCUUCGGGUUGUAAAGCACUUUCAGCGGGGAGGAAGGCGUUAAGGUUAAUAACCUUGGCGAUUGACGUUACCCGCAGAAGAAGCACCGGCUAACUCCGUGCCAGCAGCCGCGGUAAUACGGAGGGUGCACGCGUUAAUCGGAAUUACUGGGCGUAAAGCGCACGCAGGCGGUCUGUCAAGUCGGAUGUGAAAUCCCCGGGCUCAACCUGGGAACUGCAUUCGAAACUGGCAGGCUAGAGUCUUGUAGAGGGGGGUAGAAUUCCAGGUGUAGCGGUGAAAUGCGUAGAGAUCUGGAGGAAUACCGGUGGCGAAGGCGGCCCCCUGGACAAAGACUGACGCUGAGAAGCGAAAGCGUGGGGAGCGAACAGGAUUAGAUACCCGAGUAGUC
rnacentral:rRNA from 1 species